UACGUAGGGUGCGAGCGUUGUCCGGAAUUAUUGGGCGUAAAGGGCUCGUAGGCGGUUUGUCGCGUCGGGAGUGAAAACCAGGUGCUUAACACCUGGCUUGCUUUCGAUACGGGCAGACUAGAGGUAUUCAGGGGAGAACGGAAUUCCUGGUGUAGCGGUGAAAUGCGCAGAUAUCAGGAGGAACACCGGUGGCGAAGGCGGCAUCCUGGACCAAUUCUGACGCUGAGGAGCGAAAGCCAGGGGAGCAGACGGG
rnacentral:rRNA from 1 species